rnacentral:rRNA from 1 species
CCUACGGGAGGCAGCAGUGAGGAAUAUUGGUCAAUGGUCGGGAGACUGAACCAGCCAAGCCGCGUGAGGGAUGAAGGUACAGAGUAUCGUAAACCUCUUUUGUCAGGGAACAAAGGCGGGGACGCGUCCCCGGAUGAGUGUACCUGACUAAUAAGCCCCGGCUAACUACGUGCCAGCAGCCGCGGUAAUACGUAGGGGGCAAGCGUUAUCCGGAUUUACUGGGUGUAAAGGGAGCGUAGACGGCGAUGCAAGUCUGAAGUGAAAGGCGGGGGCCCAACCUCCGGACUGCUUUGGAAACUUUAUGGCUGGAGUGCAGGAGAGGUAAGUGGAAUUCCUAGUGUAGCAGUGAAAUGCGUAGAUAUUAGGAGGAACACCAGUGGCGAAGGCGGCUUACUGGACUGUAACUGACGUUGAGGCUCGAAAGCGUGGGGAGCAAACAGGAUUAGAUACCCGGGUAGUC